rnacentral:tRNA from 1 species
GCCCGUGUGUCGGAAUUGGCAGACGAACUUGACUCAAAAUCAAGCGCCCUCAAGGCGUGCCCGUUCGAGUCGGGCCACGGGCA